UUCCUCUUAAACCAUCCAAUAUCCCAGUGAAAUGAAAACCGUGUUCACAUUUACAGUCAAGUCACAGCUUCAGGAAUGUAAUUCCUAAUUAUAUGGAGAAAAGCAAAUAGGUUGCUUUUCCAUAAUAACAUUUCUAUUGGGAUUUAAGGUAAAGGUUGGUUUUUGGUGGUGAAUUUAAUGAGUGAUUACAGUAGUGAUUACUUAGGGAGAAUAGCAUUUUAAAUAAUUUUAUGUUUUUGCUUUUUUUUUUUUGCUUUUUGGUUGAGAAAGAAUGAUUGCCGUUUUUAUUUCUUCAUGACAUCACUAUGUACGACUUUGUGAAACACUGAUACAAUAAUGGAAAACAGUUUUUCCCUUAAAUGUCUGAUAAGGAUAAUUUUCCUGGAAUACUGUGUCAAGUAUUAGAAUCACUGAAUUAUCAGAACUGAGCAUACUGACA
rnacentral:lncRNA from 1 species